CCUACGGGAGGCUGCAGUGGGGAAUAUUGGACAAUGGGGGGAACCCUGAUCCAGCCAUGCCGCGUGUGUGAAGAAGGCCCUCGGGUUGUAAAGCACUUUCAGUGAGGAAGAACGCCUGGUGGUUAAUACCCAUCAGGAAAGACAUCACUCACAGAAGAAGCACCGGCUAACUCCGUGCCAGCAGCCGCGGUAAUACGGAGGGUGCGAGCGUUAAUCGGAAUUACUGGGCGUAAAGCGCGCGUAGGGGGCUUGAUAAGCCGGUUGUGAAAGCCCCGGGCUCAACCUGGGAACGGCAUCCGGAACUGGCAAGCUAGAGUGCAGGAGAGGAAGGUAGAAUUCCCGGUGUAGCGGUGAAAUGCGUAGAGAUCGGGAGGAAUACCAGUGGCGAAGGCGGCCUUCUGGACUGACACUGACACUGAGGUGCGAAAGCGUGGGUAGCAAACAGGAUUAGAUACCCUGGUAGUC
rnacentral:rRNA from 1 species